CUUGGUCAUUUAGAGGAAGUAAAAGUCGUAACAAGGUCUCCGUUGGUGAACCAGCGGAGGGAUCAUUAAUGAGUUGCAAAACUCCAACCAUCGCGAAUGUAACCUAUUGCAGUUUCUUCGGCGGGUGGCCCUGAGAUGGGCUGCGCACCCCGUGGGUCACGGGGGGUAUACCCGCCGGAGUCGUACAAACUCUUGUAUUUGUUGGCAUCUCUGAGUAACUUUUACAAUAAGUUAAAACUUUCAACAACGGAUCUCUUGGUUCUGGCAUCGAUGAAGAACGCAGCGAAAUGCGAUAAGUAAUGUGAAUUGCAGAAUUCAGUGAAUCAUCGAAUCUUUGAACGCACAUUGCGCCCGCCAGUAUUCUGGCGGGCAUGCCUGUUCGAGCGUCAUUUCAACCAUCAAGCCCCCGGCUUGUGUUGGGGACCUGCGGCUGCCGCAGGCCCUGAAAACCAGUGGCGGGCUCGCUAGUCACUCCGAGCGUAGUAAUACAUCUCGCUCAGGGCGUGCUGCGGGUUCCGGCCGUUAAAAAGCCUUAUUUACCCAAGGUUGACCUCGGAUCAGGUAGGAAGACCCGCUGAACUUAAGCAUAUCAAUAAGCGGAGGA
rnacentral:rRNA from 1 species